AUUUUACACCAAAGUCUUAUUCCAGAGAUUCACAUGAAAUCUGGUACUUUUAUUCGAUUAAAAAACCGGACCGAAAAAAGCGAGAUCCCUUGUAGACGACUUGGAUUUUGGAACGGGUAUUGUAAGGAGCAGAGUAGCUUAUUUUUUUUUUGUUAAUUACCAUGCUGCGAUCUCUUGAGAUUUAGCCCGGAAUUUUU
rnacentral:rRNA from 1 species